AUAGCAGAUCUGAGGCAUGCAUGGUGUUUGACAUUUCUGUCUUUUAAGUAGGGGGACUUCAAAAAGUCGUGGGCAUCCCCCUAGGCAAAGUGCAGUGGGCAGGGACCAGGCAGGGUGCGGGCGCAAGGCGAACGCGCAGACCACGAGUGUCCUGGCGCAGGUGCCGGGGGCGGCGGCUGCAACUCCGCAGCGUCCGCUCGGGAGGAGAGUUCGCGGCUGAUCUCCGGAUGCCUUGCAGAUGCAAAAUGUGUCUCUGGCCAGCAGGAGGAAGGAAGAGGAAGUGAGAGCAGCGGCAGCCGGCGGUGCAGCAGCCGGCCGACCCAGAGUGUAAGUGCGUGUGCUGGGGCGAGCGGGAGCGGGCGAGGAUGGGCACAGGAUAGAGGCAGAGCCACCCACGCCGCCGCGGCCCCACGCUGGGCGACAGAGCCUCCAGUUCCCCUUCAAUGGUGGCGGGUCGCCGGAGCUCUGAUCGCCGGGAACCCUUGCCGCUGCUGUCCUGCGACCCCAAGCAGGGGGCAGAGCAGGGAGCACUUAUACCAUACAAGGCAGAGAAGAUACAGAUCAAGAUAUGCCCAAGGCCCUUCUAGUUCAGCCUCUCCUUGGAGUAGGUAUAGACACGUGUGGCCGUUUACGCUGUAGGAUCCUCAUUCCCACUGGCUUUGAACAUUUUGGGGACUUACAAUGCCGCCACCCGCGGACAUCGUCAAGGUGGCCAUAGAAUGGCCGGGCGCCUACCCCAAACUCAUGGAAAUUGAUCAGAAAAAACCACUGUCUGCAAUAAUAAAGGAAGUCUGUGAUGGGUGGUCUCUUGCCAACCAUGAAUAUUUUGCACUCCAGCAUGCCGAUAGUUCAAACUUC
rnacentral:lncRNA from 1 species